AACAGGUUCACACAAAUAUUUAUUUCCUAAAAUUCCGGUUUGUCAAAAAACAAAAAAGUUAAUAAAAAAAAAACAAUAGGUAUCGGACUACAUUAAACCGAUUUACGGUAAAAACUUAUUUUUAAAGUAAAUUUGCUGAAUUAAUAUCGUUGAUAUGAGACAUUACUUCCGAAAUUAAUUCAUUAUUCAGGAAGGUCCAUCAAAGAAUGCUGACUAACGAACAUUAAAAAAAAAUAUUUCAUAAAAGUUCCGAAAUUAUAAGGCUAAUGACGUGUUUUGAGGUCAAACAACUCAUAUCCGGAACGAGGGUUCCUAAAAACAGUGAACAAAAAUGUACAACAACUCAAGAGCAUUUUGAUACCUCAGUGGAGAUCAUAUCCUAAUCUGAAAAAAAAAAAAACAAA